UGGGCCCACUUCGUCCGCGGCCGCAGGAACCCGGUGUCACUCCGGGGCGGUUCCGCCACUGUGUGCCGAGCGAUCGGCAAGCCAGACACUGCCCGCGGACGGUUCCGACAC
rnacentral:ncRNA from 2 species